UCCACUCGUUCUUUAUUACUAAAGGAAAAAACUACAAAUAUCAGUUUCGUACUUUUUCACUUUAAUAUUCUGUAAUUUAAAGUGUAUGUAAUUUAGUACUAUAUGGUUUCGUACUUUCUUAUUUUAAUAUUCUGUGAUUUAAGUGCAUCAAUUUAGUACAUUGUGAUUUUAUUUUUCUCUUUUUGUCAGCAUCUCUAUUAAUAUUUCGUUAAAUUAUAUACAAAAACAUUCAGAUAUCCUACUUAAGUUUAUCGAAUGUUUAUUUUAGUAUCCUUUAGUUUUAACUUUAUCACUGAUUUUUUUUCUCCAUUAAUAUUUCGUUAAAUUAUAUACAAAAAACUUCAGAAACCCUACUUAGUUUUAUCGAAUAUUUAUUUUAGUACCAUUUAAUUUUAACUUUGUCACUAAUUUAACGAAAAAAAUUAGUAAAAUAGAUAAUAAAAAGAGAAAAAUAAAACCACAAAGUAUUAACUUUAUACACUUUAAAUCAUUGGGUACUAAAAUAAGAAAGUGAGAAAUCACAGGAACUAACUUGAUACACUUUAAACCAUAAGAUACUAAAGUGAAAAAAUAUGAAACCACAUGGGGUUAUUUGAAGUUUACCCUUACUAAAAUUGUACACGGUAUUAUGAGUACUAGUUACGGAACCCCGCGCGUUGCGGCGGAAAGUCGAUAUAAUAGUCAAUUAGUAGAACUAUUAAUAUUAUUUUUUUUAUUAUUCAUUAAUAUUUUUGAAUAAUAUUUAUU
rnacentral:lncRNA from 1 species